AUCGCUUCUCGGCCUUUUGGCUAAGAUCAAGUGUAGUAUCUGUUACCUACUACCCAGCCAAGGGCACUUGGGUUAUUUCCGGUUCUAGGCUGUUACAAAUGAAGGGCCAUGAAUAUGCCUGUGUAGGCUUUUGUGCGGACGUGGCUUAUCUGUCUGGGGUAAAUAUGUGGCUGGACUACCUGGUAAGUGCACGUUUUAUAAG
rnacentral:snRNA from 1 species